rnacentral:rRNA from 1 species
UACAGGGGGGGCAAGCGUUGUUCGGAAUUACUGGGCGUAAAGGGCUCGUAGGCGGCCAACUAAGUCCGACGUGAAAUCCCAAAGCUUAACUUUGGAACUGCGUCGGAUACUGGAUGGCUUGAAUUCGGGAGAGGGAUGCAGAAUUCCAGGUGUAGCGGUGAAAUGCGUAGAUAUCUGGAGGAAUACCGGUGGCGAAGGCGGCAUCCUGGACCGACAUUGACGCUGAUGAGCGAAAGCGAGGGGAGCAAACGGG